UUUGCAAACAUUUCUGUCAGAUAGCAUCACCGUCACCACAUGAUUUAAGCAAGCAUGUAUUCAUCAUACUUAAACCAGAUGUCAUCGGAGUAGAUGAGAAAUGAAUCACCCACUCCUGACAGCUUGUUUAUUUCUGGCAAUACUUUCCAGCAGGGAUUGUUGAAAUGCAUAGCACACUUCCUUCAUAUCUUGGCGUGCGGUUGAGAUUCUAAAUGCCACUGGGGGGAAAAUGCCUUCCUUCAAAACAAGCUCCAUUCUACUCAGAGCAAGGAAAAGGCGGGGGAACAAGGCGGGGCUCAGGGUCUCCUUGUGACAUAUGAAUAACCCGGUUACUGCCAACAUUUCCACCUUCAGUCUGAGGGAUUAUUCCCAUUAAUUAAAGGAGUGCAGGCACCACUGAUAUUAGAAGAUGAUAUCAGAUCUCCUGGAACUGGAGUUGCAUGCAGUUGGGAGUUGUCCAGUGUAGACACUUUACUUCGAGGAUAUAUUGCCUCCUGGUGAUUAUCUGCUACUAACCAAAGGCCUUUUCCUAAGAGGAGAAGUUAAUGCCAUGGGGUCCACACAGAUUCGGGAAACCACGCUUGAGUUGGGGUUCCACAAGGAUGUGAUUUGAAGUCUAAAGAGCGAUUCACUGUGUGCAACUUCACCUCUACUCAAACGCCCCUGCAGCCAACUUGAAAAUCAUUCCUGAUAUGUCAUGUGUCCGUCUCCUUUCCACUACUUUCGGGUCUGCUAAUUUUCUUUUCCACAUGUAACAACAGAAGUCAGUCCAGGGAUUUAAGAUAUCAAACACUUGAUUAAGAAAAUAAGCCAUUAGGAAUACAGCAAGUUUUGUGCAAAAUAUAGUUCAGAAAAUCAGUAUG